rnacentral:misc_RNA from 1 species
GCUCUUUCUUUUCUCUCUUGUCUUCCCAUUCCAGCUUCAUUUCAAUUUUCACCUGCAGAGUUGCGAUCUUCCUCCCUCUCGGCUUCAUCAAUGAAGGGGGCCUCUGAUCCUUCUCUGGUUCGCCUCAACAUUGGUGGGAAGAAAUUUAGAACAACAUUAGAUACAUUGACUCAACGAGAACCUGAUUCAAUGCUAGCUGCAAUGUUUAGUGGGCGUCAUACCUUAUGCCAGGAUCCUGAGGAGGGAUCUGUCUUUUUGGAUAGGGAUGGGAAACAUUUUCGACACAUUCUUAAUUGGUUAAGGGAUGGGACAGUUCCAAUACUUUCCGACUCUGACACUGUAGAGCUUCUGCGAGAGGCAGAAUACUAUCAGUUGCUUGGACUCAUCGAUGGAAUCAAUGAUGUAUUAAGUAAAAAGAAGGAAGAUGAGGAACCAGAGCUGAAGCGUGUUGAUAUUAUCAAGUGCAUACAGUCUGAGAAAGUUCGAUUGCGAGGGGUUAAUCUUUGUGGCCUUGAUCUUUCCAAGCUGG